AUUGAACGCUGGCGGCAGGCUUAACACAUGCAAGUCGAGCGAGCGGCGGACGGGUGAGUAAUGUCUGGGAAACUGCCUGAUGGAGGGGGAUAACUACUGGAAACGGUAGCUAAUACCGCAUACCAUCAGAUGUGCCCAGCUGGGAUUAGCUAGUAGGUGGGGUAAUGGGUCACCUAGGCGACGAUCCCUAGCUGGUCUGAGAGGAUGACCAUACACAAUGGAACUGAGACCCGGUCCAGAUUCCUACGGGAGGCAGCGGUGGGGAAGAUUGCACAAUGGGCGCAAGGCUGAUGCGGUCAUGCCGGGUGUGGGAGGAAGGCCUUCGGGUUUUAAAGCACUUUCAGCGAGGAGGCGUUACUCGCAGAAGAAGCACUGGCUAAGUCCGUGCCAGCCGCCGCGGUAAUAC
rnacentral:rRNA from 1 species